rnacentral:rRNA from 1 species
GAUGAACGCUAGCUACAGGCUUAACACAUGCAAGUCGAGGGGCAGCAUUUCAGUUUGCUUGCAAACUGGAGAUGGCGACCGGCGCACGGGUGAGUAACACGUAUCCAACCUGCCGAUAACUCGGGGAUAGCCUUUCGAAAGAAAGAUUAAUACCCGAUGGUAUAAUCAGACCGCAUGGUCUUGUUAUUAAAGAAUUUCGGUUAUCGAUGGGGAUGCGUUCCAUUAGGCAGUUGGUGAGGUAACGGCUCACCAAACCUUCGAUGGAUAGGGGUUCUGAGAGGAAGGUCCCCCACAUUGGAACUGAGACACGGUCCAAACUCCUACGGGAGGCAGCAGUGAGGAAUAUUGGUCAAUGGGCGCAGGCCUGAACCAGCCAAGUAGCGUGAAGGAUGACUGCCCUAUGGGUUGUAAACUUCUUUUAUAUGGGAAUAAAGUUUUCCACGUGUGGAAUUUUGUAUGUACCAUAUGAAUAAGGAUCGGCUAACUCCGUGCCAGCAGCCGCGGUAAUACGGAGGAUCCGAGCGUUAUCCGGAUUUAUUGGGUUUAAAGGGAGCGUAGGUGGACAGUUAAGUCAGUUGUGAAAGUUUGCGGCUCAACCGUAAAAUUGCAGUUGAUACUGGCUGUCUUGAGUACAGUAGAGGUGGGCGGAAUUCGUGGUGUAGCGGUGAAAUGCUUAGAUAUCACGAAGAACUCCGAUUGCGAAGGCAGCUCACUGGACUGCAACUGACACUGAUGCUCGAAAGUGUGGGUAUCAAACAGGAUUAGAUACCCUGGUAGUCCACACAGUAAACGAUGAAUACUCGCUGUUUGCGAUAUACAGUAAGCGGCCAAGCGAAAGCAUUAAGUAUUCCACCUGGGGAGUACGCCGGCAACGGUGAAACUCAAAGGAAUUGACGGGGGCCCGCACAAGCGGAGGAACAUGUGGUUUAAUUCGAUGAUACGCGAGGAACCUUACCCGGGCUUAAAUUGCAUUUGAAUAUAUUGGAAACAGUAUAGCCGUAAGGCAAAUGUGAAGGUGCUGCGUGGUUGUCGUCAGCUCGUGCCGUGAGGUGUCGGCUUAAGUGCCAUAACGAGCGCAACCCUUAUCUUUAGUUACUAACAGGUCAUGCUGAGGACUCUAGAGAGACUGCCGUCGUAAGAUGUGAGGAAGGUGGGGAUGACGUCAAAUCAGCACGGCCCUUACGUCCGGGGCUACACACGUGUUACAAUGGGGGGUACAGAAGGCAGCUACCUGGUGACAGGAUGCUAAUCCCAAAAGCCUCUCUCAGUUCGGAUCGAAGUCUGCAACCCGACUUCGUGAAGCUGGAUUCGCUAGUAAUCGCGCAUCAGCCAUGGCGCGGUGAAUACGUUCCCGGGCCU